GCUCAUACGCAACACGCGCACUCUUGUCGUUCAUGAGUUCUUCAGACACUCUUGUCGUUCAUAUCUCGCUCUUCUAGGGUUUCUCCGUUUUUUCUCCUCCACAAUCUCGAUGUUUUCUCCAAUUCAUGGACACACUCUGUUUAUGCCGUCUCUUUCCUUCCGAUUCUCUCAUCACUCCAUCUCCCUCCUCGAAGAACACGAUGCGGUUGUAAUCUCUCCGCGUUGGCAAGGAGAAGCGAUGCGCGAGAGAAUGAUUUCGUAAUCAUCUUGUUCAAGCAGGGCGUCCGAGUCGACAAUCAUCCCGGCCUUGCAAACUAUCACGCCGUGCUUCCUCUUUACGUCUUCAAUCGCGGAUUCUUUCUCGUGCGUAUGCCUCUUCUUCUGCAUUAUAUUUCUCUAUUUUGUCUGUGUUUAUUUUUAGGUUUUUCAUUGUUGUUCAAUUUUUUUAAGGUUUUUCUUUGCAGUCAAUUCUAUACCUCGAAUUUGAACUUCUUUCUCUCAUGGACACUCUCUUGCACGCGCUCUCUCUCUCCUUCCGAUUCUCCUUUCUCUCUGUUUCCCUCCUCGGCGAACACGAUGAGGUUGAUCUCUUUUCUCGCCGUCGACGAGAGGCAAUUUUAAGAAUAAUUCCUCAAUUUUCUCGUUCAAGCAGGAUCUCCGGCUCGAAUGUAAUCCUGGCUUUGUAGCCGUGCCUCCGAGUAUCGGGCUGUGGUGUUCCGUUACGUCUUCGAUCGCUGGAUUCUUUCUAGUGUGUAUGAUUCUUCUGCUUUUUCUUAUAUUCCUAUUUUCUCUCUUUAAUUUUUCUCUGUAGGUCAAUUGUUUUAUGUUAUUCUUUAUCUUGCCUACACUAAUCUCUUGUUGAAACCUACAAUCUAUACUCCCUUACUACUUUUAUGGACACUCUCUGUUCAUGACACUUCAUGACCUAUUAUACGCGAUCUCCGACAUUCCAAUUCUCUUAUCAAUCCUCCUCAAUUCUUGAAUAACACUAUGCAGUUGUUUACUAUCGACCCCCGGCAAGAAGAGGCUAUGCUGAUGCAGCUCCGUAAUUCUCGGGUUCAAGUAGGAUUUCCGUAUCAGGCGUUGUAACUGCCCCAAGUUUCAGGCGGUGGUUCCUAUCUACUUACAGAAUCUCAGAAUUGUAUAUGACGCCUAUCGGGACUCUAAAGUCUUAACAGAUGCUUUUGAAGCAAAAUCAGGUUUAUAACUUUAGUCUCUGUGCCUUGGAAAGCUGAUGCCACAAUCAAUUGUAAAGACAAGGACCUCUUUCCUCUGCUGGAAUGAUUUAUAUCCAUAGCUAAGGUGAGCAUCCUCGUUUCCCGCUUGAUGAAGAUCCCUUUUAUUAUAACAUGGGAUUUAUAGUUAUUUUGUCUCAUGGAGACGGUUUUGUGGAAGGCACACACCUUCUUUCCUGGCAAGGUUCACCUAGGACUAGGAGAGUGCCUUGAUGUGAGGUGUCGGGUCCACCCCACACACACACACACACACACACACACACACACAAUUUUAAUCGCCCUAUAUUGACAAAGAAGGCGUCAGGUGCUUGGAUUUGUUUUUUUACAUGAUUUCAUUUUUUAUUUAUUGUGUUGGAUAAUGCAUGCUUUUAAUUUAGAAGAGAAGUUUGUGUGAAAUCCUAAAAUAAGCUUUACAGUUCUCCUGGGAAAAAGAGGGAAUUGUUGGACCAUUUUGUUGGGAGAGAAAGGAACACAGGAGAAAGAAUAAAAAGGAGCACAAAAGUUUACUUUGGAGGCAUGGGAUUUUUUUAUAAGUGAUUUCAUUUGUGAUAUAUUGUGUUGGAUAAUGCGUAUUUUUAUUUAAAAAUUCUUUUUUGUUUUCUUUAAUUUGGUCCCUGAUAGGUUGAUUACCUAGCAGGGUGAUAAUGGGUCUUGGUGCCUUACUCAUGCUAAUAAUCGCCCUAGAAUGACCGAAGUUUAGUUUGGACGCGUGGAUUUGUUCUUUUAUAAGUGGUUUUAUUUUGAUUUAUUUUGUUGGAUAAUGCAUACAUUUAAUUUGAAAAUUCCUUUUCUAUCGUUAGUUUGGUGCCUCAUAGGGCGAUUGCCUAUUACCUUGGCUGAUAGGGGCUGCCUUAAGCACCCUAUCUGCUUUUAAUCGCUCUAUAAUGACAGAAGUUGGCUUCAGGUGCCUGGAUUUGUUCUUUUUACAUUGUUUCAUUUUUUAUUUUGUUGUGUUGGAUGAUGCAUAUUUGUAAUUUAGAAUUUUCUAUUCUUCUUUAAUCUGGUGCCUGCAUGAGGCUUCUGAUGCCUGGCAAAGUGCCUUGUUAUCCUUGGGGAUUCUAAUAUCAGCCAAACUGCCUAUGUUCUUCUUGAGAAUAUUGUAAGUGUAAGACAAUCGAUGCACCUGGUGACUUUGAAUUAUGAUACCUAAUUGUUGACUUGCCCUUCUGAGUUGCUAGGAGGAUGAUUUGGGGGAUUGAAAUUUGAAACUUGUAUGUAUGGUAGGGAAAAGCCUGUUGGAUAGUCCCUGAUCACAAAGGGUACUUCCUGGUGACUUUGUAUUGUGAUACCUAAUUGUUGACUUGCCCAUCUGAGUUGCUAGGAGGAUUAUUUGGGGGAUUGAAAGUUGAAACUUGUAUGUAUGGUAGGGAAAAGCCUGUUGGAUAGUCCCUGAUCACAGAGGGUACUUUGGAGACGGUGAACUAAGGUCUAUUCUUCAGGUUUUUCUGCUUCUCUCAUGUUUGAUGUAUGGCCAUGGUUUGGCCUUUUCAUUCGGUCUUGGAACUCCCGUGCUGGUAAUUUUUGUAUAUCAUUUGGAUUAGAAUUGGUAAUGUUUGCAUAUACCACGAAAUGCUGUGCCAAUAUAAGUUUUGUAUUGU